GCAUAUCAAUAAGCGGAGGAAAAGAAACCAACAGGGAUUGCCCUUAGUAACGGCGAAGUGAAGCGGCAACAGCUCAAAUUUGAAAUCUGGCUCUUUUAGAGUCCGAAGUUGUAAUUUGCAGAGGGCGCUUUGGCUUUGGCAGCGGUCCAAGUUCCUUGGAACAGGACGUCACAGAGGGUGAGAAUCCCGUACGUGGUCGCUAGCUAUUGCCGUGUAAAGCCCCUUCGACGAGUCGAGUUGUUUGGGAAUGCAGCUCUAAAUGGGAGGUAAAUUUCUUCUAAAGCUAAAUAUUGGCCAGAGACCGAUAGCGCACAAGUAGAGUGAUCGAAAGAUGAAAAGCACUUUGGAAAGAGAGUCAAACAGCACGUGAAAUUGUUGAAAGGGAAGCGCUUGCAGCCAGACUUGCUUGCAGUUGCUCAUCCGGGCUUUUGCCCGGUGCACUCUUCUGCAGGCAGGCCAGCAUCAGUUUGGGCGGUGGGAUAAAGGUCUCUGACACGUUCCUCUCUUCGGGGAGGCCAUAUAGGGGAGACGUCAUACCACCAGCCUGGACUGAGGUCCGCGCAUCUGCUAGGAUGCUGGCGUAAUGGCUGUAAGCGGCCCGUCUUGAAACACGGACCAAGGAGUCUAACAUCUAUGCGAGUGUUUGGGUGUCAAGCCCGAACGCGUAAUGAAAGUGAACGGAGGUGGGAACCCGCAAGGGCGCACCAUCGACCGAUCCUGAAGUUUACGGAAGGAUUUGAGUAAGAGCAUGGCUGUUGGGACCCGAAAGAUGGUGAACUAUGCUUGAAUAGGGUGAAGCCAGAGGAAACUCUGGUGGAGGCUCGCAGCGGUUCUGACGUGCAAAUCGAUCGUCAAAUUUGGGCAUAGGGGCGAAAGACUAAUCGAACUAUCUAGUAGCUGGUUCCUGCCGAAG
rnacentral:rRNA from 1 species